ensembl:misc_RNA Metazoa_SRP Metazoan signal recognition particle RNA
GCCAGGGGUGGUGGCACACACCUGUAGUCCCACCUACUUGGGAGGCUGAGGUGGGAGGAUUGCUUGAGCCCAGGAGGUCGAGGCUGCAGUGAGCUGUGAUUGCACCACUGCACUCUAGCCUGAGCAACAGAGCAAGACCCUGUCUCAA